rnacentral:rRNA from 1 species
GUCGAGCGGCGGACGGGUGAGUAACGGCUGGGAACCUGCCCUGACGCGGGGGAUAACCGUUGGAAACGACGGCUAAUACCGCAUAAUGUCUUAGUUCAUUACGAGCUGGGACCAAAGGUGGCCUCUACAUGUAAGCUAUCGCGUUGGGAUGGGCCCAGUUAGGAUUAGCUAGUUGGUAAGGUAAUGGCUUACCAAGGCRACGAUCCUUAKCUGGUUUGAGAGGAUGAUCAGCCACACUGGGACUGAGACACGGCCCAGACUCCUACGGGAGGCAGCAGUGGGGAAUAUUGCACAAUGGGGGAGACCCUGAUGCAGCCAUGCCGCGUGUGUGAAGAAGGCCUUCGGGUUGUAAAGCACUUUCAGCAGUGAGGAAGGUGGUGUACUUAAUAAGUGCAUGGCUUGACGUUAGCUGCAGAAGAAGCACCGGCUAACUCCGUGCCAGCAGCCGCGGUAAUACGGAGGGUGCGAGCGUUAAUCGGAAUUACUGGGCGUAAAGCGCAUGCAGGCGGUUUGUUAAGUCAGAUGUGAAAGCCCGGGGCUCAACCUCGGAACCGCAUUUGAAACUGGCAGGCUAGAGUCUUGUAGAGGGGGGUAGAAUUUCAGGUGUAGCGGUGAAAUGCGUAGAGAUCUGAAGGAAUACCAGUGGCGAAGGCGGCCCCCUGGACAAAGACUGACGCUCAGAUGCGAAAGCGUGGGUAGCAAACAGGAUUAGAUACCCUGGUAGUCCACGCCGUAAACGCUGUCUACUUGGAGGUUGAGGUUUAAGACUUUGGCUUUCGGCGCUAACGCAUUAAGUAAACCGCCGGGGGAGUACGGCCGCAGGGUUAAAACUCAAAUGAAUUGACGGGGGCCCGCACAAGCGGUGGAGCAUGGGGUUUAAUUCGAUGCAACGCGAAAAACCUUACCUACUCUUGACAUCCAACGAAUCCUUUAAAGAUGGAUGAGUGCCUUCGGAAGCGCUGAAACAGGUGCUGCAUGGCUGUCGUCAGCUCGUGUUGUGAAAUGUUGGGUUAAGUCCCGCAACGAGCGCAACCCUUAUCCUUGUUUGCCAGCACAUAAUGGUGGGAACUCCAGGGAGACUGCCGGUGAUAAACCGGAGGAAGGUGGGGACGACGUCAAGUCAUCAUGGCCCUUACGAGUAGGGCUACACACGUGCUACAAUGGCAGAUACAGAGGGCAGCGAAGCUGCGAAGUGGAGCGAAUCCCUUAAAGUCUGUCGUAGUCCGGAUUGGAGUCUGCAACUCGACUCCAUGAAGUCGGAAUCGCUAGUAAUCGUGGAUCAGAAUGCCACGGUGAAUACGUUCCCGGGCCUUGUACACACCGCCCGUCACACCAUGGGAGUGGGCUGCACCAGAAGUAGAUAGCUUAACCUUCGGGAGGGCGUUUACCACGGUGUGGUUCAUGACUGGGGUGAAGUCGUAACAAGGUAGCCCUAGGGGAACCUGCGGCUG